rnacentral:rRNA from 1 species
AUGAACGCUGGCGGCGUGCCUAAUACAUGCAAGUCGAACGCACAGCGAAAGGUGCUUGCACCUUUCAAGUGAGUGGCGAACGGGUGAGUAACACGUGGAUAACCUACCUCAAGGGUUGGGGAUAACAUUUGGAAACAGAUGCUAAUACCGAAUAAACUUCGUAUCGCAUGAUACAAGGUUAAAGGCGCUACGGCGUCACCUAGAGAUGGAUCCGCGGUGCAUUAGUA